GACGAACGCUGGCGGCGUGCUUAACACAUGCAAGUCGAACGGAAAGGCCCUGCUUUUGUGGGGUGCUCGAGUGGCGAACGGGUGAGUAACACGUGAGUAACCUGCCCUUGACUUUGGGAUAACUUCAGGAAACUGGGGCUAAUACCGGAUAGGAGCUCCUGCUGCAUGGUGGGGGUUGGAAAGUUUCGGCGGUUGGGGAUGGACUCGCGGCUUAUCAGCUUGUUGGUGGGGUAGUGGCUUACCAAGGCUUUGACGGGUAGCCGGCCUGAGAGGGUGACCGGCCACAUUGGGACUGAGAUACGGCCCAGACUCCUACGGGAGGCAGCAGUGGGGAAUAUUGCACAAUGGGCGGAAGCCUGAUGCAGCAACGCCGCGUGCGGGAUGACGGCCUUCGGGUUGUAAACCGCUUUCGCCUGUGACGAAGCGUGAGUGACGGUAAUGGGUAAAGAAGCACCGGAUGACUACGUG
rnacentral:rRNA from 1 species